AGAGUUUGAUCCUGGCUCAGGAUGAACGCUAGCUACAGGCUUAACACAUGCAAGUCGAGGGGAAACGAUAUUGGAAGCUUGCUUCCGAUAGGCGUCGACCGGCGCACGGGUGAGUAACGCGUAUCCAACCUGCCCAUCACUUGGGGAUAACCUUGCGAAAGUAAGACUAAUACCCAAUGACGUCUCUAGAAGACAUCUGAAGGAGAUUAAAGAUUUAUCGGUGAUGGAUGGGGAUGCGUCAGAUUAGCUUGUUGGCGGGGUAACGGCCCACCAAGGCUACGAUCAGUAGGGGUUCUGAGAGGAAGGUCCCCCACAUUGGAACUGAGACACGGUCCAAACUCCUACGGGAGGCAGCAGUGAGGAAUAUUGGUCAAUGGACGAGAGUCUGAACCAGCCAAGUAGCGUGCAGGAUGACGGCCCUAUGGGUUGUAAACUGCUUUUAUAAGGGAAUAAAGUGAGCCUCGUGAGGCUUUUUGCAUGUACCUUAUGAAUAAGGACCGGCUAAUUCCGUGCCAGCAGCCGCGGUAAUACGGAAGGUCCGGGCGUUAUCCGGAUUUAUUGGGUUUAAAGGGAGCGUAGGCCGGAGAUUAAGCGUGUUGUGAAAUGUAGACGCUCAACGUCUGCACUGCAGCGCGAACUGGUUUCCUUGAGUACGCACAAAGUGGGCGGAAUUCGUGGUGUAGCGGUGAAAUGCUUAGAUAUCACGAAGAACUCCGAUUGCGAAGGCAGCACACUGGAGCGCAACUGACGCUGAAGCUCGAAAGUGCGGGUAUCGAACAGGAUUAGAUACCCUGGUAGUCCACGCCCUAAACGAUGUCUACUAGUUGUCGGGUCUUAAUUGACUUGGUAACGCAGCUAACGCGUGAAGUAGACCGCCUGGGGAGUACGGUCGCAAGAUUAAAACUCAAAGGAAUUGACGGGGACCCGCACAAGCGGUGGAUGAUGUGGAUUAAUUCGAUGCAACGCGAAAAACCUUACCUACCCUUGACAUGUCAGAGAGCUCGAAGAGAUUUGAGUGUGCUCGAAAGAGAAUCUGAACACAGGUGCUGCAUGGCUGUCGUCAGCUCGUGUCGUGAGAUGUUGGGUUAAGUCCCGCAACGAGCGCAACCCUUGUCAUUAGUUGCUACGAAAGGGCACUCUAAUGAGACUGCCGGUGACAAACCGGAGGAAGGUGGGGAUGACGUCAAGUCCUCAUGGCCCUUAUGGGUAGGGCUUCACACGUCAUACAAUGGUACAUACAGAGGGCUGCCAACCCGCGAGGGGGAGCUAAUCCCAGAAAGUGUAUCGUAGUCCGGAUUGGAGUCUGCAACUCGACUCCAUGAAGUUGGAAUCGCUAGUAAUCGCGGAUCAGCAUGUCGCGGUGAAUACGUUCCCGGGUCUUGUACACACCGCCCGUCACACCAUGGGAGCGGGUUUUACCAGAAGUAGGUAGCCUAACCGCAAGGAGGGCGCUUACCACGGUAGGAUUCGUGACUGGGGUGAAGUCGUAACAAGGUA
rnacentral:rRNA from 1 species